AUGCAGAGAGACCUGCAGCAUUUGUUUAUCUGCUGUCUUGGUUUUCACUACAGAUGCAUGAAAAAGAAGUCCCUGCACUUGCUAUCUGUCUAAUGCGGCAGCCCAGAUUGAAGGGGGAAAUACAGGC